rnacentral:rRNA from 1 species
AUACGGAGGGUGCAAGCGUUACUCGGAAUCACUGGGCGUAAAGCGCGCGCAGGCGGCUAUUUAAGUUGGAUGUGAAAGCCUACGGCUCAACCGUAGAACUGCAUCCAAAACUAUUUAGCUAGAGUGUGGGAGAGGAAGAUGGAAUUAGUUGUGUAGGGGUAAAAUCCGUAGAGAUAACUAGGAAUACCAAAAGCGAAGGCAAUCUUCUGGAACACUACUGACGCUGAGGCGCGAAAGCGUAGGGAGCAAACGGGAUUAGAAACCCUAGUAGUCC